GGGGACACAGGUGAAUAAACAGGACCCUGGUUUUGGGGAACUGACAGGCUCCCCAAAGUGACUUGGCAAUUGGUUGGAUGUGGGAGUUGGGAUAAGGGAGGUGUCCAGGACAAGCCUAGGUUUCUGGCUUGGGCACUUAGAAGGGUGGGUGGUGGUGUCAUGGAUUGAGAUGGACAGGGACUGGGGGGUAUCUCAUAAGGAAAUCUUGGGGCAUGUUGAUUUCAAGGUGCUUGUGAGAAACCCAGGUGACACUGUGCAGGCGGCUGUAUAUGUGAGCCUAAUGCUCCUAAGAAGGUCUAGUCAGGGGAAGUUUUACUUCCGGAUUGCUGGGGUAUCGAUAAGGGAAUUAAAGCAACCAGAGGAGAUGAGGCUGCCCGGGAGAGAGGAGCGCGGUGCAAAAUGGGAGGAAGACCCAGCACUGAGCCCUGAGACACCAACGUCUCUUCCUUAAAAUGUUUAUUUUGACAUAAUUUCAGACUUAGAUAAAAGUGGCAAGAUGAUUACAAAUGUUUCCCACAUACUCCACCUAGAUUUCCCAAAUGUUAAUUGUUUACCACAUUUUAAAUUCUUUUCUCUCUCUCUCUCUUUUUUUUUUUUUAGAUGGAGUCUCACUGUUUCCAGGCUGGAGUACAGUGGUGCAUUCUCA
rnacentral:lncRNA from 10 species